rnacentral:rRNA from 1 species
AUUGAACGCUGGCGGCAGGCCUAACACAUGCAAGUCGAGCGGUAGCACAGAGAGCUUGCUCUCGGGUGACGAGCGGCGGACGGGUGAGUAAUGUCUGGGAAACUGCCUGAUGGAGGGGGAUAACUACUGGAAACGGUAGCUAAUACCGCAUAAUGCUGCAAGACCAAAGAGGGGGACAUUCGGGCCUCUUGCCAUCAGAUGUGCCCAGAUGGGAUUAGCUAGUAGGUGGGGUAACGGCUCACCUAGGCGACGAUCCCUAGCUGGUCUGAGAGGAUGACCAGCCACACUGGAACUGAGACACGGUCCAGACUCCUACGGGAGGCAGCAGUGGGGAAUAUUGCACAAUGGGCGCAAGCCUGAUGCAGCCAUGCCGCGUGUAUGAAGAAGGCCUUCGGGUUGUAAAGUACUUUCAGCGGGGAGGAAGGUGUUGUGGUUAAUAACCACAGCAAUUGACGUUACCCGCAGAAGAAGCUCCGGCUAACUCCGUGCCAGCAGCCGCCGUAAUAC